GUCCACCCGUAACGUUGGGAACUAGUUGUGGGUCCAUUCCACGGAUUCCGUGACGCAGCUAACGCAUUAAGUUCCCCGCCUGGGGAGUACGGCCGCAAGGCUAAACUCAAAGGAAUUGACGGGGACCCGCACAAGCGGCGGAGCAUGCGGAUUAAUUCGAUGCAACGCGAAGAACCUUACCAAGGCUUGACAUAUACGAGAACGGGCCAGAAAUGGUCAACUCUUUGGACACUCGUAAACAGGUGGUGCAUGGUUGUCGU
rnacentral:rRNA from 1 species